AUGGCCACACCAGAAGAGAAAGCACAGGGAUCCGUUCAUUUCUGCGACCUGAAAGCUGUGACCGGUAAGCUGUCUGUGGAAGGCAAAUGGGAGCUUCGAUUGUCACUGAGUUGGGUCACAUUUUGCAAACUUCCGACGGCAGUGGCAAGGAGCUUUGUUUUUGUCACCUCUGAUGACCAUCAUUCCGUGCAUAGGACGGUCAUUCGGAAAUUCCGCACUGUGAAUGGCCACCGCUGCCAAGUUAGGAAAGCCCCAUGAAAGCAAGACGUGGCUAGUCCUUCAUCCAGCCAAAGAGGUCGAAGUAGUUCUGGAAACUUUGGUGCUGGUCAUGGAGGUGGUUUCGGUGGGAAUGACAACUUUUGUCAUGGAGGAAACUUCAGUGGUCGUGGUGGCUUUGGUGGCAGCCAUGGUGGUGGUGGAUAUGGUGGCAAUGGGAAUGGCUAUAACGGAUUUGGUAAUGAUGGAAGUAAUUCUGGGGGUGGUGGAAGCUACAAUGAUUUUGGCAAUGACAAUAAUCAGACUUCAAAUUUUGGACCCAUGAAAGGAGGAAACUUUUGAGGCAGAAGCUCUGGUCCCUAUGGUAGUAGAGGCCAAUACUUUACCAAACUACAAAAGUAAGGUGACUAUGGCGGUUCUAGCAGCAGUAGCUAUGGCAGUGGCAGGAGAUUUUAAUGAGGAAACAUAGCUUAGCAGGAGAGGAGAGCCAGAGAAAUGACAGGGAAGCUAGAGGUUACAACCCACUCGUGAACUCAGCCAAGCACAGUGGUGGCAGGGCCCAGCUGCUACAAAGAAGACAUGUUUUAGACAAAUAGUCAUGUUUAUGAGCAAAAAACUCAAGGACUGUAUUUGUAACUAAUUAUAUAACAGGUUAUUUUAGUCUCUGUUCUGUGGAAAAUAUAAAACAUUCCAACAAAGGGUUUUCAUGUAGAUUUUGUUUUUGCACCCAUGCUGUUGAUUGCUAAAUGUAAUAGUCUAAUCGUGAAGCUGAAUAAAUGUCUUUUUUUUAAUGUGCUGUGUAAAGUUAGUCUACUCUGAAGCCAUCUCAGUAAAUUUCCCUCAACAGUGUAAAGUUAGAAUUCCUUCAGGGUGAUGACAGGUUCUAUUUGGAAUUUAUAUACAAUCUGCUUGGGUGGAGAAGCUGUUGUCUUCAGAAACCUUGGUGUA